rnacentral:rRNA from 1 species
GGGUCAGUAGGUUGGUCGUGCCACCGGUCCGUACUGGUCUCACUGAUUCCUCCUUCCUGAAGAACCGUAAUGCCAUUAAUUUGGUGUUGCGGGUAAACAGGACUGUUACUUUGAAAAAAUUAGAGUGUUUAAAGCAAGCUAACGCUUGAAUACAUUAGCAUGGAAUAAAGAAAUAGGACGAUCGAUCCUAUUUUGUUGGUUUCUAGGAUUGACGUA